rnacentral:rRNA from 1 species
AGAGCGAACGCUGGCGGCAGGCUUAACACAUGCAAGUCGAACGGGCAUAGCAAUAUGUCAGUGGCAGACGGGUGAGUAACGCGUGGGAACGUACCUUUUGGUUCGGAACAACACAGGGAAACUUGUGCUAAUACCGGAUAAGCCCUUACGGGGAAAGAUUUAUCGCCGAAAGAUCGGCCCGCGUCUGAUUAGCUAGUUGGUAGGGUAAUGGCCUACCAAGGCGACGAUCAGUAGCUGGUCUGAGAGGAUGAUCAGCCACAUUGGGACUGAGACACGGCCCAAACUCCUACGGGAGGCAGCAGUGGGGAAUAUUGGACAAUGGGCGAAAGCCUGAUCCAGCCAUGCCGCGUGAGUGAUGAAGGCCCUAGGGUUGUAAAGCUCUUUUGUGCGGGAAGAUAAUGACGGUACCGCAAGAAUAAGCCCGGCUAACUUCGUGCCAGCAGCCGC